GCGCGGGCUUAGUUAAGCGGUUACUUCGCAUAAAAGAAUUUACUGUCACUAAAUACCCUUACUGCUCUGGACCGUUGGCGCCAUCCCGUGCUUUU
rfam:Helobdella robusta unplaced genomic scaffold HELROscaffold_106, whole genome shotgun sequence.